UUUACGAAUUUAGUGUAUUUGGCCAUUUGUUACAAAUUUAUAUUAUGUUGUAUUAUGUGAUUUAUUAUUCCAUUCAGCAGCUCAUUUCUUACCAAAUGCAGCAUACAAUUUCAUUAUACCACCACCACCAACAACAACAACAAUUGCAGCCUACUCUGCCUUGAUCAUUCAUAUUUCCAUCAAGUGAUGGCGGCUUAUGCCGCAGCGAUCUCUCUCAAGAAUACAAUUCAGUGUAUUCUACAAUCGGCUCGUAUUUCGCUGGUUCCUCCCUCUCCACAAAUCCUACAACCGGCCUACGAGGCCAUGUGUCGCUUGCAGAAAGUUUUGCUGAAAUUGGACGAGACAAGCUACAGCAAGAUCAGGACGAAGGUGAAUGCUCUGGAUGAACGAAUCAAAGAGGUCGUGUGGGAAUUCGAAGAUUUACUCGAAUCCCAUUACGCCCAACAAAUUCUUCCACAGCUCGAAAGUGAGAGGGAUCACUCCUCUUUCUCUCUAGAUCUGCAGAAUCUGCGAGAGAGUGUUGAUAACUUCAUCGAGAGGGUGACGGUGAUGGAGACAGAGUACGAUAGUGAGCUGGUGAGCAUGCCUGAAGAAGAAGGCGAAACGAUUUCCUCAAGAAUUGAUUUUGGUGGAAUCAACUCAUACAUGGUUGGAUUAUCUGAUUUUUUUGAACAUGCCAUGGAUUAUCUUCUUUCAGAAGAUAUAAGCAAUCCGUUAUUAUUAACUGGCAUGGCAGGGGUUGGAAAGACAACUCUAGCUAAGAAAUUAUUUGACGAUCCAUUGGUUCAGACACAUUUCGAGCUUCGAGCAUGGGUCAAAGUGGGGAGGAAAUGUGAAUCAAUUGAAACAUUACGAUGUAUUCUAGCUCAAGCGGAUCCCAACACUCGCAACCAAAUGGUUACCCAAGGAGACGAUGAUGAUGAUGAUGAUGAUGAUGAUGAUGAUGAUGAUGAUGGCAAGAAGUUAGCUAGAAUCUUGGAAGAGAGAUUGAAGGAUAAGAAAUGUCUCAUUGUGUUGGAUGAUGUAUGGGAAUGGGACACGCGACUAAUGGAUAACUUGCCAAAAGAGAAUGUGCAAAUCUUGCUUACAAGCAGGCUUAGAAUGAAACAAACUCCAACUUUUCUAAGAAUGCGCAAGUUAGAUAUAAAAAAGAGUACGAAAUUACUUGCUGAGAAGGUGUUCGGUGAAAAGGAAUUCCCUCCUCACCUUGAGAAAUUGGGAGAGAAGAUUGCCCAAAAAUGUGAUGGUCUUCCACUUUUGAUAGUCACAGUUGCAAAGCUUCUAUCCAAAGAAUACAUGACCCCACAACACUGGACUGAGGAAGCAGAAAAACAAUACUGGACUGAGGUAGCAGAAAAACAACAGAAUUCAGUUUUUGUGGAUGCACAUGAUCAAAUAUCAAAGGUACUUUAUCCAAGCUAUGAAUACUUGCUUCAACAUUUGAAAAUGUUCUUUAUCUAUUUUGGAGCUUACCCUCCAUAUUGUAAUAUCCAUGAAAGGGAAUUCGUGCAUCAGAUAAUAGCUGAAGGAUUUGUUGAACCGAUUACAGAAUACACUUUAAGAGAAUAUACCCAGAACUGCUUCACAAAGCUUAUUAAGUGGUAUAAUCUUGUUCUUGAAGAAGGCGAUACAAAUUCUCUGUUUUCACCGUACAAGUUGUAUGUGCAUUCUGUCUGGCAGCACGUAUGUAAUAAAGAAGCUACUAUGAUCAAGUUUUUGCAUGUUUUAAAAAGUUGGGAUGAAGUUAUGAAAGACCAACGUCGGUUAUGUGCCCAUUGGAACGCUUUAUUUUCCUUCAAAGAAGUAUAUGAUUCAAUAAAAAGUGAUUGUGCAUCUACUGCCCGUUCUUUCCUUUGUUAUGGUCCUAACCACAUGUAUCCGGUGCCAAUACAUGCCAUGGAUUUCAAGUUGCUCAGAGUACUAAAUGCUUGUAGUGUCCGAUUUUACCAUAUCCCCCUUGAAAUUAUGAAACUAGUUUGUCUAAAGUACCUUUCCCUAACUUGCAACAAAGAACUCCCUAAUUCCAUAUCCAACCUGUUUCACCUUGAAACCUUGAUUGUCAAAACGCAUGCGACGAUUAAAAAGUAUGGAGUUUUUUCAUGUAUACCGGUGGAAGUAUGGAGCAUGCAAGAACUACAACAUAUUGAGGUCGAAGGAAGAGACCUACCAACCCCUAAUUCUAAUGUUACUUUGGAAAAACUCUUUUGUCUUUGGGGUGUGAGUGCAAAGAGUUGCACUAGAGAAAUUUUGAAAAGAAUCCGUAAUUUAGGGAUAUUAGGAAUUCGUAUGGAGUUGAAGCCUUACGACGACGAUGGUGAUAUCAGUCCACUAAGUGGCUUGGAUAAUAUCUCAGUAGAACUCCAGAAUUUGGGGAAGCUUGUGUACUCUGUACCGAACCCUGACAUGAAAUAUGAGUUUAUGGUUCCUCUUUCAAUGUUCUCGUCAGGUCUUGAAAUUGUGCAGCUGAGCGGCUUAGGGUGUCCAUGGAAGCACAUGAAUGACAUUGGUUUGCUGCUACCAAAUCUUCAAGAACUCAAACUAGAACACUAUGCCUUUCGAGGACCAGAGUGGGAGAUAAAAAGUGGUUGGUUUUUGAAACUUGAGAUACUUGUAAUUGAAGACACUGAUCUGGUGCGAUGGAAAGUUCAACAUGGAGGCCUCCCCAUGCUUAAGCUUCUAAGCAUGCGACAUUGCUACAAAUUGCAACAAUUCGAUUGGGCGCGUGAUCCCUCAAUGUUAACAACUCUAAUUGAAUUAUAUGAGUGCAACCCAUUAGGUGUCACUUCUGCCCUGCAGUUACCACGAUCUCUCUUUCAAAUUCAUUUCAACUAUAUUGUUUGAGAAGAGAAGUUUUUGCUACUCUCAACUUGGCUUACAGGCAAAUGAGAGAGUAAAAAGACUGUCAGACGCUGCGUCAAGGAUUGUGAAUUGGUGGAUUUUGUUGAAUAAUGUUUGAUUAUUUAUGUAAGCUCAUAUGUAUUUGUAUUUUCUCUUUCAUUUGUUGAUACGGAACUCACUGUACAUGGCUCAGCGUGAACCAAAAUAGCUGAGCCAUGUACAGCUUAGUCUGAGAGGACCGCCUUUGGAGGUCCUCUCUUCCGACUACGUCACAGUGUGGUUCCGCCAAGUCUACGUCGGAGUUAGUUAUGUUGUUAAUCGAGUCAAGUAUUUUAUGUAAGAGAGUCGAGUGAAUAUAGUAAUUUACUCCUGGGGUUUUCUUUGACGGUUCGUUCCUGGAUUGUUGUAAGAGAGUCGAACUGCAUAGGUUAGGUCACUAUGUAUAAAUAGUCUUUGUCUGUUUUAGAUGGCAUGAAAAAUAAAACCCAGGGAAAUGAGAGAGCAGAAGGGAUAAGACGUCAAGUUAUGCCAUCGUUUUAACUAUAUUAAUGGUUUGUUUCUUGAAUCUACUAAGGAUUGUGAUUUGUUAUCGAGUCCGUUGUAUUUUUAAGUCGUUUUUUGUAAUCGAGUUUUAAUCGCGUGUGGGCAUGUUAUAAGCUCCUUCAUGGGUUUUUCUUCGUUUGGUUCUUUUCCCAUGUCGUAGUGUUUGAAUCAAACAAGACUCUUAUUUCUUAAUAAUACUACAAGUUUUACUUAA